GACAAUAGCAUAGAUGACUCAAGGGUGGUCGGCUCACUUAUCCCUCCAGGGAGGGAGGUGAUGCCUCUGACAGUAUUCGAAACGCUGACGCUGAUGAUUUCUUUCGGUACGCUGGUUGUUGCGAUUAUGUCUGAUAAAAACCAAAAAAAAUAACCACCCUUGAGUGACAGCUCAUGAUGGGUAGGUUAUUUUUUCGCUCUUCUGUGGGUCGAUUCCUUUGAGGAAUCCUUGCUAUUGCUUGACCGUUUGAUGUUACCAGCACCAGGC
rnacentral:sRNA from 1 species